AUCAAUAACUAACUUUUAUUCUUUUUUAAAUGGUUGUAAUAGGUUAACACUCGGUAUUAUUAGGAAUUACUAUAAUUCAUCUUGAGGAUAAUAUUAUUUCUGGUUCUUGGCUCAUUUUGAGUUGGACAAUACGAACUCAGUGAAAGGUUAACAUUAAGUUGUGCAUAUAACUACUGCACAGAUGUCCUCCACAGACACUCCUCUAAACAAUGCCCAUGACGUCGCCAUGCCCCUUGUUGAGUGCGCACACACCCCUGUAGUCAGUCAACCCUUUACUCUUAUAUGCAAUUGAAAUUGCUUCAACAAUCCAAUUUGAAAGAAGUGCUUAGACAGUGGCUUCCCUGGAACUGGGUUGGCAAAACAUACAAACAGCUGAAUGUACAGUCUGCGUCUGCGCUAUAUAUCGGUGUGGAACUCAUACAGGACACAAUGCAUGAAGCUUCCUGUUUUCCUCAGAGUCAAUAGAGAGGUUUGACAGGGUGGGCAGAUCAAAUGGGAGUGCACUAUAUGCCCCUAAUAAGACUUUAGGCAUAUACGCCGCAUUUGGGUGCAACACCACCUGCACUGUUUUGUAAUGGGCCUCAGAAACCCCGUCUCUUUAAGAAACUGAAUGGCAAGCGGGUGCACACUUGGCACAGCACCAUAUAUGCCCUAAUGACCAUUAUCUCGCUAUCUUCAAUAUGUUCAACAAAACUAAAAAAAUGCGUAAUCUGGCAUUGAUACGAUGGUAAAGAUUUUCGUCCGCACCAAUCUUCAAAUAUGCGCCAUUUGAACUCGUAAAGCCCCCUUGUUGAUGUAGCCCUAGUGCUCUGAAUUGCAGCCACUACAUUGAUAGCGAGCCCUGCUGCCAUCAGAUUCUCCCUCUCAGUCCACAGCUCCAGUCGAGGAUGCAGAAUCUGGGUAAUGUCUUGGUAAGUCUGCAGCAAGGACAUAGAGCUCAACGCUCUAGCUGUGCAGGCUUGAUCAGUAUAAAUCCUGCCGAGCUGUUUGUACGAGAACCGGCAAGGUCCCAUUGGGAGAGUGGGUACCUGGGAUACCACUAUUUUGCGUGGGUGCCAGGGAAUGCAGCAAGAGAAUGUUCUACUGGGGAUUCGAGACCAUCCCUGCUUCCCCCACUCCUUCGAACUCCAUAAACUUUUUGGACCCGGCACCAGAGGAGGGGGUGACAUGGGCUUCAGCCACGAAGAUGUGAGCUCCGACACAGAAUCUAUAUUAAGCGGCAAGCGUGUCCUCAAAGACACCAGAGACAAAAAGAACUCACCGAACUGCAAGCUUUUCUGUACCUGCCAUUCUCCAUUAUAGAUCAAUGAAGAGAUCCUGUACUGUCUCACUUCCACCCAUCGCCUUGGAGGGCGAGGGAGAAGCUGGGAUUUACCCUGGUUGAAAAAUGUUGUCAGAGAACUCUUCGCCCGCAUCAAACGACACCCAAAAUCCUGAUGAAACUCAGAAGCAAUCAGAGGAAGACCCCUGUCCUCCUCGGCUUCCUCCAAAACGGCUAGAGCCGCAUCUGGAUCAGCCUCUGAGGACAAAAGCAGACUGUGUCUGGCCACUGCCCCACCGAGCAAACGCUCCACAAACGCCAAAUGCCGUUCAAGCAUGGAAUGACAGAACAGCCAGCAAUGCACACACGCUCAGUGGUUGGAGAGACCCAACUUAGCACGGACAAUACCAAAACACACCAGACAGUGCUCGUGAACUAGUGGAAAGAAAACAUCCAAAAUACACAUAUGUUUUAUUAUUUGUGUCUGUAAAUGUCAGUUGCAUUCUUUAAUAGCCAUUUUCUCAAAAAAA
ensembl:lncRNA